AUAUUUGGAAGAAGCAACAGCGAAGAGGAGCUGCUGCCGGUUCUGCUGUGGAGAGCAACUUUGCCCAAGCAAACUCAGCAGCCCAGUUUCAGACCCUGACAGCUCCUGAUCUGGCUGGAAGCCAGUCUGUGGAUCUGAAAGAUAUGUUGACGUGUAAUUUUUCCACUCCUACUGCAUAUAAACUGUCCACUAUUCCCCUUACUGCCUGGAGCUAGGGAGACAUGCAAUGGCAAAAGAAUGCAAGUCAAAACCAUGUGUAAAUGACCCAUGUGAUUACCCAGUGUUUUUAUGGAUCAUACUCUGCAAAAUAACAUCCAUGCUCAUUUUUCAUUACCUGCUACUUUUUGCAUAAAACUCAGGCUAUCUCUCUG